rnacentral:rRNA from 1 species
CGGUUGAUCCCGCCGGACCUGACUGCUAUCGGAUUGAUACUAAGCCAUGCGAGUCAUUGUAGCAAUACAAGGCAGACGGCUCAGUAACGCGUAGUCAACCUAACCUAUGGACGGGAAUAACCUCGGGAAACUGAGAAUAAUGCCCGAUAGAACACUAUAUCUGGAAUGGUUUGUGUUCCAAAUGAUUUAUCGCCGUAGGAUGGGACUGCGGCCUAUCAGUUUGUUGGUGAGGUAAUGGCCCACCAAGACUAUUACAGGUACGGGCUCUGAGAGGAGUAGCCCGGAGAUGGGUACUGAGACACGGACCCAGGCCCUAUGGGGCGCAGCAGGCGAGAAAACUUUGCAAUGUGCGAAAGCACGACAAGGUUAAUCCGAGUGGUUUGUGCUAAACGAACCUUUUGUCGGUCCUAGAAACACCGAUGAAUAAGGGGUGGGCAAGUUCUGGUGUCAGCCGCCGCGGUAAAACCAGCACCUCAAGUGGUCAGGAUGAUUAUUGGGCCUAAAGCAUCCGUAGCCGGCGCUGUAAGUUUUCGGUUAAAUCUGUACGCUCAACGUACAGGCUGCCGGGAAUACUGCAGCGCUAGGGAGUGGGAGAGGUAGACGGUACUCGGUAGGAAGGGGUAAAAUCCUUUGAUCUAUUGAUGACCACCUGUGGCGAAGGCGGUCUACCAGAACACGUCCGACGGUGAGGGAUGAAAGCUGGGGGAGCAAACCGGAUUAGAUACCCGGGUAGUCCCAGCUGUAAACUAUGCAAACUCAGUGAUGCAUUGGCUUGUGGCCAAUGCAGUGCUGCAGGGAAGCCGUUAAGUUUGCCGCCUGGGAAGUACGUACGCAAGUAUGAAACUUAAAGGAAUUGGCGGGGGAGCACCACAAGGGGUGAAGCCUGCGGUUCAAUUGGAGUCAACGCCGGAAAU